UUGAGAAGAAGGUUGGCUUCUGGACAUUUCCGAUCUGCACUCUCUCUCUCUGUCUACAGCACUAUCAAGGAUCUGAAGUUUGCUAUGAGGUUUCUUAUACUCCUCAUUCUCCUGGAGAUCAAACAAUUCCAUAAGCCAUGACCGAUGAUGCCGAGCCGCAAUCCUCGACGUUGUCCGCCUCUUCUUCACCAAUUUACAUCCACCCAUGACGUGAGCCCUUCGAGCACGGCCUUCUCCCCAUUCCCAAGCUCAUCAUCACCGACGGCACCGAAACACUGGGCCCCAUUUAGGACAAGCUCUUCUAACCGUUAGACCCAAUCGCAUCACCUUUCCGAUUUCCUCCAGAUCUCACCUCAGGUACUAAGGCUGUGUGUCUUUGAAAUAAUAGGAUAUUGGGUUCAAAAAUGAGAGUUUGUAUGAUAUUCACAGCAACCCAGGUUGUGGCUUCCUCUUUCUUCCUAUGAUUGCGGAAGUUGUUAGCUUCUUCAUGCUGUCAGACUUGUGUUCUGGGAAGAUAUUAGAGAGGAUUUUAUAAGACUCUGUAAAACGUUUCAUGGAUUCUUUGGCUAUUUAAUGUGUGGCGUGAGGGCGUGACAUUGGAAUACUAACAGUUUUCUUGGAAUGAAUUUAUGUAAUUAAUGCUCAUCGGAAAACAUGUAUGAUUUAGGAUACCAAAGUCGGCUAUCACAGGGCAACUGUAUAACAGUGUAUUUAGAACUCUAUUUCUAUACAAAUUCUAAACGACUGUGUUUUUAGUAGGCGGGAUU